UACGGAAGGCAGCAGUGGGGAAUAUUGCACAAUGGGCGAAAGCCUGAUGCAGCUAUGCCGCGUGUAUGAAGAAGGCCUUAGGGUUGUAAAGUACUUUCAUCGGGGAGGAAAAAAACAAAACUAAUAAUUUUAUUUCUUGACGUUACCCGAAAAAGAAGCACCGGCUAACUCCGUGCCAGCAGCCGCGGUAAUACGGAGGGUGCUAGCGUUAAUCAGAAUUACUGGGCGUAAAGAGCACGUAGGUGGUUUUUUAAGUUCAGAUGUGAAAUCCCUGGGCUUAACCUAGGAACUGCAUUUUGAAACUGAAAUACUAGAGUAUCGUAGAGGGAGGUAGAAUUCUAGGUGUAGCGGUGAAAUGCGUAGAUAUCUGGAGGAAUACCUGUGGCGAAAGCGGCCUCCUAAACGAAUACUGACACUGAGGUGCGAAAGCGUGGGGAGCAAACAGGGAUUAGAUACC
rnacentral:rRNA from 1 species